rnacentral:tRNA from 1 species
GCAUAUAUAUUUUAUCUGGUAAAAUAAUUGAUUUCCAAUCAAUAAAGGUAGGUUCAAGUCCUAUUGUAUGCA